CAGUAGCCGCGGGAAUACGUAGGUGGCAAGCGUUGUCCGGAAUUAUUGGGCGUAAAGCGCGCGCAGGUGGUUUAAUAAGUCUGAUGUGAAAGCCCACGGCUCAACCGUGGAGGGUCAUUGGAAACUGUUAAACUUGAGUGCAGGAGAGGAAAGUGGAAUUCCUAGUGUAGCGGUGAAAUGCGUAGAUAUUAGGAGGAAUACCAGUGGCGAAGGCGACUUUCUGGGCUGCAACUGACACUGAGGCACGAAAGCGUGGGGAGCAAACAGGAUUAGAUACCCGUGUAGUCCCUGUCUCUUAUAC
rnacentral:rRNA from 1 species